UACGAAGGGUGCAAGCGUUGCUCGGAAUUAUUGGGCGUAAAGGGUUGGUAGGUGGUCUUGUUUGUCUGAGGUGAAAUCCCAUGGCUUAACUGUGGAAGUGCCUCAGAAACGGCAAGACUAGAGUCCUAGAGGGGUUUGUGGAAUUCCCGGUGUAGCGGUGAAAUGCGUAGAGAUCGGGAGGAACACCAGCGGCGAAGGCGGCAAACUGGAUAGGCACUGACACUCAACAACGAAAGCGUGGGGAGCAAACAGG
rnacentral:rRNA from 1 species